rnacentral:rRNA from 1 species
CAGUAGCCGCGGUAAUACGUAGGUCCCGAGCGUUGUCCGGAUUUAUUGGGCGUAAAGCGAGCGCAGGCGGUUAGAUAAGUCUGAAGUUAAAGGCUGUGGCUUAACCAUAGUACGCUUUGGAAACUGUUUAACUUGAGUGCAAGAGGGGGGAGUGGAAUUCCAUGUGUAGCGGUGAAAUGCGUAGAUAUAUGGAGGGACACCGGUGGCGAAAGCGGCUCUCUGGCUUGUAACUGACGCUGAGGCUCGAAAGCGUGGGGAGCAAACAGGAUUAGAUACCCCAGUAGUCCCUGUCUCUUAUACA